UCAACACACACAACCCUAAUCCAUUCUCCCUCCUCUCUCUCUCGGCGGUAUCGCCUCAUUCUCACCGCCACCGUCGACGCCUCUCGCCGGAUUAUGAGCUCGAUCUCUCAGCUGCUACACAGCACCGCCGCCCGAAGCCGGCCCUGGACCGGUGACAGCCGGUGUUGUUGCGUACGUGAGCUCAGCGAGGCAGCACCGCCGUCGCAGUCAGACACUCCGUAAGGCGGGGUUGUCGCCUGUGCUCCUCCGGCGCUCUCCGUUGAAAACGCGGAGGAGUUCUCGGCAUCUCCGUCGCGCCAGCCAGUUCCGCCGUCGCCGCACGGCUGAGGCCUCGCCGCUUCCCGACGCGGUGGAACAGCCGUUACUGCCCCGGUUAGGGAGAAGGCGUCGCCUUUCCCUUCCUCCGGUUCCUCUCUAUAAGCUAAGUUUUUGCUGCCUUCCUUUGCUUAGCUCAAAUCGGGGUUUAUUUAGCAACCUAUGUAACAAUCGAUUCUUGACUAUUGGUGAUGUUCAAGCUUUGAUCUUGUGGGAGUUUGAUUGUUGAAUCCAUUAAUUGAGUUUGUGGCAGAAGCUCUAUAUUGUGAUUAAUGGGGAUUUCUUGAACUUGUUGGGAUUUAUUUGUUUGCUCACUGGAAAGAGCUUAACCCUUAAAAGAAUUUGCUACAAAACUAUAGCAUAAAGGCAGCCUAUCGUGCUUGUUUUAUAUUUAUUGUGAUUCCUAAGUUGUGGUGACUCUAUAUGAUGGCAUAAAAAUGAUGGGGAGGAAAGGGUGGAGGUGUAUUACCUCUGAAAAUUGAGGGAGUGGCUGACUUGCUGCUGCUCACUACUUGCUCUACCCUCUAACUCUCUGUUUUUGCUGAAUUUUGAAGUGUGGGUGAAAGGAGGUUGAAUGUGUUGUGGAGGGUGUUUUAUAGGCAGAUUGUGUGUACUCUUGAGGCUUUAAAAGGCUGCUGCAUUGUUUGCUGCCCUGCUGCAGAAAAUAUCACUUUUAGUGAUCUCCUUGUCUCUCCUUCAUGGCUGCAAAACUUGCAUCUUUAUGAGUAACUAGUACUAGUUAUUAAUUGGGGUUUGUUGGGAUUUUGGCAGAGAUUGAAUCUGGACUCUUUGGCUCCUUGCUAGCUAUUCUUUUGGUGGUUUAUGGAGUAUGUACUCGUGAGAAAUAAAUGGCUGUUGUGCAAUAGUUGUUGCAGGGCUGACUUGCCUUCUAUGGCAACUCCUUGGUCCUCUAUAACUAAAGGAAAUGUGAGAGGAAAAGCAUGGCUGCCUUGCGGCUGCCUUGAGACGUGGGUCAGCUGCCCUGAGUCUCCGUCGGCUGCCUGGGCUCGGCGACUGCACGGAUAUGGCGCGGUGGUAGUGCGGCGUGGGCUCGGGAAGAGAAGUCCAAGUGCAAGCUACCCUAGACUUUAUUUCUUUGAGUUUUUGGUUCAUUCAAGAGUAUUGUAAUAUUAAUAUCCCAUCUCAUCCUUUUGUAAGACCAUCAUGAAAUUCCAAAGAAACAAAUUUUUGGGCAUUAUGUGGACAUUUUCUUUCGGGAACACUUAAAUAGCAUUCCUUUUUAUUCCGCAACGUACAUUAGUUGGUUUA